GAGUUUGAUCCUGGCUCAGGACGAACGCUGGCGGCGUGCUUAACACAUGCAAGUCGAACGGAGUGCUCCGGAAAGAGAUUUCGGUCAAUGGAUGGAGUUACUUAGUGGCGGACGGGUAAGUAACGCGUGAGGAACCUGCCUUUCAGAGGGGGACAACAGUUGGAAACGACUGCUAAUACCGCAUAACGCAUGGGUAUCGCAUGGUAUCUGUGCCAAAGAUUUAUUGCUGAGAGAUGGCCUCGCGUCUGAUUAGCUAGUUGGUGAGGUAACGGCCCACCAAGGCGACGAUCAGUAGCCGGACUGAGAGGUUGGCCGGCCACAUUGGGACUGAGAUACGGCCCAGACUCCUACGGGAGGCAGCAGUGGGGAAUAUUGGGCAAUGGGCGCAAGCCUGACCCAGCAACGCCGCGUGAAGGAAGAAGGCUUUCGGGUUGUAAACUUCUUUUAAGAGGGAAGAGUAGAAGACGGUACCUCUUGAAUAAGCCACGGCUAACUACGUGCCAGCAGCCGCGGUAAUACGUAGGUGGCAAGCGUUGUCCGGAUUUACUGGGUGUAAAGGGCGUGUAGCCGGGCUGACAAGUCAGAUGUGAAAUUCCGGGGCUCAACCCCGGACCUGCAUUUGAAACUGUUGGUCUUGAGUAUCGGAGAGGCAGGCGGAAUUCCUAGUGUAGCGGUGAAAU
rnacentral:rRNA from 1 species